GGCUAGAGUUUGAUCAUGGCUCAGGACGAACGCUGGCGGCGUGCCUAAUACAUGCAAGUCGAGCGAGCUUGCCUAGAUGAUUUUAGUGCUUGCACUAAAUGAAACUAGAUACAAGCGAGCGGCGGACGGGUGAGUAACACGUGGGUAACCUGCCCAAGAGACUGGGAUAACACCUGGAAACAGAUGCUAAUACCGGAUAACAACACUAGACGCAUGUCUAGAGUUUGAAAGAUGGUUCUGCUAUCACUCUUGGAUGGACCUGCGGUGCAUUAGCUAGUUGGUAAGGUAACGGCUUACCAAGGCAAUGAUGCAUAGCCGAGUUGAGAGACUGAUCGGCCACAUUGGGACUGAGACACGGCCCAAACUCCUACGGGAGGCAGCAGUAGGGAAUCUUCCACAAUGGACGAAAGUCUGAUGGAGCAACGCCGCGUGAGUGAAGAAGGGUUUCGGCUCGUAAAGCUCUGUUGGUAGUGAAGAAAGAUAGAGGUAGUAACUGGCCUUUAUUUGACGGUAAUUACUUAGAAAGUCACGGCUAACUACGUGCCAGCAGCCGCGGUAAUACGUAGGUGGCAAGCGUUGUCCGGAUUUAUUGGGCGUAAAGCGAGUGCAGGCGGUUCAAUAAGUCUGAUGUGAAAGCCUUCGGCUCAACCGGAGAAUUGCAUCAGAAACUGUUGAACUUGAGUGCAGAAGAGGAGAGUGGAACUCCAUGUGUAGCGGUGGAAUGCGUAGAUAUAUGGAAGAACACCAGUGGCGAAAGCGGCUCUCUGGUCUGUAACUGACGCUGAGGCUCGAAAGCAUGGGUAGCGAACAGGAUUAGAUACCCUGGUAGUCCAUGCCGUAAACGAUGAGUGCUAAGUGUUGGGAGGUUUC
rnacentral:rRNA from 1 species